GGGAUUGCCCCAGUAACGGCGAGUGAAGCGGCAGGAGCUCAAAUUUGAAAUCUGGGGUCGCCGACCUCCGAGUUGUAAUUUGGAGAGGCGCCUUUGGGGGGGAGCGCUGGCCCAUGUUCCUUGGAACAGGACGUCGCAGAGGGUGAGAAUCCCGUGCCAGGCCGGCCGCCUCCUCCCGCGUGAGGCGCCUUCGACGAGUCGAGUUGUUUGGGAAUGCAGCUCCAAGUGGGUGGUAAAUUUCAUCUAAAGCUAAAUACUUGCGGGAGACCGAUAGCGCACAAGUAGAGUGAUCGAAAGAUGAAAAGCACUUUGAAAAUAGAGUCAAAAAGUACGUGAAAUUGUUGAAAGGGAAGCGCUUGAGACCAGACUCAGACCCGAGCAAACAUCGCGCCCCUCGGGGCCGUGCAAUUGCCUGGGGCUGGGCCAGCAUCGGUUGGCGUGGCGGGACAAAGGCGCAGGGAAUGUGGCUCCCCUCUGGGAGUGUUAUUAGCCCCGUGCUGAAUGCCGCCGCCGCCGACUGAGGACCGCGCCUCGGCUAGGAUGCUGGCUUAAUGGCCUUCAGCGACCCGUCUUGAAACACGGACCAAGGAGUCUAACAUCUAUGCGAGUGUUUGGGCGUCAAACCCUUGCGCGGGAAUGAAAGUGAGCGGAGGUGGGAACCCCUCGCCGGGCGCACCAUCGACCGAUCCUGAUGUCU
rnacentral:rRNA from 1 species